UACGUAGGGGGCAAGCGUUGUCCGGAAUCAUUGGGCGUAAAGCGCGUGUAGGCGGUUCGGUAAGUCGGCUGUGAAAGUCCAGGGCUCAACCCUGGGAUGCCGGUCGAUACUGCCGGACUAGAGUUCGGAAGAGGCGAGUGGAAUUCCCGGUGUAGCGGUGAAAUACGCAGAUAUCGGGAGGAACACCAAUGGCGAAGGCAGCUCGCUGGGACGUUACUGACGCUGAGACGCGAAAGCGUGGGGAGCAAACAGG
rnacentral:rRNA from 1 species